CAAGUACUCCCUCCGUCCGGAAUUACUUGUCAACAAAAAGGAUGUGUCUAGAACUAAAAUACAUCUAGAUACAUCCAUUUCAAUGACAAGUAUUUCCGGACGGAGGAAGUAUAAG
rfam:Triticum aestivum genome assembly, contig: Triticum_aestivum_CS42_TGACv1_scaffold_592757_7BS